UACAUGCAAGUCGAGGGGUAACAGGAGUGCUUGCACUUGCUGACGACCGGCGCACGGGUGCGUAACGCGUAUAUAACUUGCCUUUGUCUGGAAGAUAGCCCGGAGAAAUCCGGAUUAAUAUUCCAUGGUAUCUUAAGCUCGCAUGAGUUAAAGAUUAAAGAUUUAUCGGACAGAGAUGGAUAUGCGUCCCAUUAGCUAGUUGGUAAGGUAACGGCUUACCAAGGCAACGAUGGGUAGGGGUUCUGAGAGGAAGGUCCCCCACACUGGCACUGAGAUACGGGCCAGACUCCUACGGGAGGCAGCAGUAGGGAAUAUUGGGCAAUGGAGGCAACUCUGACCCAGCCAUGCCGCGUGAGUGAUGAAUGCCUUCGGGUUGUAAAGCUCUUUUGUAUGGGAAGAACCACAUUCUUGCGAGANUGUCUGACGGUACCAUAAGAAUAAGCACCGGCUAACUCCGUGCCAGCAGCCGCGGUAAUACGGAGGGUGCAAGCGUUGUCCGGAAUUAUUGGGUUUAAAGGGUGCGCAGGUGGCUUUAUAAGUCAGAGGUUAAAGACCGGGGCUCAACUCCGUGUUUGCCUUUGAUACUGUAAGGCUUGAAAUACGUAUGGGUAGGCGGAAUUCCUCAUGUAGCGGUGAAAUGCACAGAUAUGAGGAGGAAGACCGAAGGCGAAGGCAGCUUACUGGGCGUUAUUUGACACUGAGGCACGAAAGCGUGGGGAGCGAACAGGAUUAGAUACCCUGGUAG
rnacentral:rRNA from 1 species